GAAGGCAAUCAAGGUUAUGCUGGAAGCUAUGGAAAUCCUAAUGCCAAUUAUGCUGCAAAUCCUUACAAUGUUGGAUACAGCAUGAAUCAAGCAAAUGCUACCGAUUCUGGUUCUCAGUAUGGAGCUGGUGCGGCGCACAGUUUCUGGGGCGCCUAUGACAUGCAAAGAGCUGCAGGACGGAGAUGACUGCCGACAUCCUCCUCCUUUUUCUUCUUAAAUCGGUCCUGUUAGCGAAGUACCAAACGCAGAUUUCUGGCACAAACUGAAUUUCUGUGCAGCGUUGAUUUAUGACUAGUCAGAUAUGCCUUGUGUAUUUGUUGACCUUUAUCUGAGUGAGUUACAUGCUCAAGCAUGUUACGGUAAUCUAGGUUACUGCAAAUUUGCAUUUUGUGUACAUGUGCUCUUUCACCUAAUGCAGUUGUCAUUACUUUGUUCA